AGAGUUUGAUCAUGGCUCAGGACGAACGCUGGCGGCGUGCCUAAUACAUGCAAGUCGAGCGAGCGGAACCAACAGAUUUACUUCGGUAAUGACGUUGGGAAAGCGAGCGGCGGAUGGGUGAGUAACACGUGGGGAACCUGCCCCUAAGUCUGGGAUACCAUUUGGAAACAGGUGCUAAUACCGGAUAAUAAAGCAGAUCGCAUGAUCAGCUUUUGAAAGGCGGCGUAAGCUGUCGCUAAGGGAUGGCCCCGCGGUGCAUUAGCUAGUUGGUAAGGUAACGGCUUACCAAGGCGACGAUGCAUAGCCGAGUUGAGAGACUGAUCGGCCACAUUGGGACUGAGACACGGCCCAAACUCCUACGGGAGGCAGCAGUAGGGAAUCUUCCACAAUGGACGCAAGUCUGAUGGAGCAACGCCGCGUGAGUGAAGAAGGUUUUCGGAUCGUAAAGCUCUGUUGUUGGUGAAGAAGGAUAGAGGUAGUAACUGGCCUUUAUUUGACGGUAAUCAACCAGAAAGUCACGGCUAACUACGUGCCAGCAGCCGCGGUAAUACGUAGGUGGCAAGCGUUGUCCGGAUUUAUUGGGCGUAAAGCGAGCGCAGGCGGAAAAAUAAGUCUAAUGUGAAAGCCCUCGGCUUAACCGAGGAACUGCAUCGGAAACUGUUUUUCUUGAGUGCAGAAGAGGAGAGUGGAACUCCAUGUGUAGCGGUGGAAUGCGUAGAUAUAUGGAAGAACACCAGUGGCGAAAGGCGGCUCUCUGGUCUGCAACUGACGCUGAGGCUCGAAAGCAUGGGUAGCGAACAGGAUUAGAUACCCUGGUAGUCCAUGCCGUAAACGAUGAGUGCUAAGUGUUGGGAGGUUUCCGCCUCUCAGUGCUGCAGCUAACGCAUUAAGCACUCCGCCUGGGGAGUACGACCGCAAGGUUGAAACUCAAAGGAAUUGACGG
rnacentral:rRNA from 1 species